rnacentral:rRNA from 1 species
UACGUAGGUGGCAAGCGUUGUUCGGAAUUACUGGGCGUAAAGCGUGCGCAGGCGGUCUGUUAAGACCGAUGUGAAAUCCCCGGGCUUAACCUGGGAACUGCAUUGGUGACUGGCAGGCUUUGAGUGUGGCAGAGGGAGGUAGAAUUCCACGUGUAGCAGUGAAAUGCGUAGAGAUGUGGAGGAAUACCGAUGGCGAAGGCAGCCUCCUGGGCCAACACUGACGCUCAUGCACGAAAGCGUGGGGAGCAAACAGG